GCAUAUCAAUAAGCGGAGGAAAAGAAACCAACAGGGAUUGCCUCAGUAACGGCGAGUGAAGCGGCAAAAGCUCAAAUUUGAAAUCUGGCACCUUCGGUGUCCGAGUUGUAAUUUGAAGAAGGUAACUUUGGAGUUGGCUCUUGUCUAUGUUCCUUGGAACAGGACGUCACAGAGGGUGAGAAUCCCGUGCGAUGAGAUGCCCAAUUCUAUGUAAAGUGCUUUCGAAGAGUCGAGUUGUUUGGGAAUGCAGCUCUAAGUGGGUGGUAAAUUCCAUCUAAAGCUAAAUAUUGGCGAGAGACCGAUAGCGAACAAGUACAGUGAUGGAAAGAUGAAAAGAACUUUGAAAAGAGAGUGAAAAAGUACGUGAAAUUGUUGAAAGGGAAGGGCUUGAGAUCAGACUUGGUAUUUUGCAAGCUUUACCUUCGUGGUGGAGUCCCCUGCAGUUUACUGGGCCAGCAUCGGUUUGGAUGGUAGGAUAAUGACUUGGGAAUGUGGCUUUGCUUCGGUAAAGUGUUAUAGCCCUUGUUGAUGCUACCUGUCUAGACCGAGGACUGCGUCUUUGACUAGGAUGUUGGCAUAAUGAUCUUAAGUCGCCCGUCUUGAAACACGGACC
rnacentral:rRNA from 1 species